UGAGAUAGAGGUUAGUGGUAGAGCACUUGCCUAGCAUGUGCAAGGCCCUGGGUUCAAUCCCCAGUACCACAA
rnacentral:tRNA from 1 species